rnacentral:rRNA from 1 species
UACGUAGGGGGCAAGCGUUGUCCGGAAUCAUUGGGCGUAAAGAGCGUGUAGGCGGCCCGAUAAGUCCGCCGUGAAAGUCCAGGGCUCAACCCUGGAAUGCCGGUGGAAACUGUCGGGCUGGAGUCCGGAAGAGGCGAGUGGAAUUCCUGGUGUAGCGGUGAAAUGCGCAGAUAUCAGGAGGAACACCAAUGGCGAAGGCAGCUCGCUGGGACGGUACUGACGCUGAGGAGCGAAAGCGUGGGGAGCAAACAGG